rnacentral:tRNA from 1 species
GCUCCGAUAGUUUACCGGCUAGAACAUCGCCCUGUCGCGGCGAGGGUCCGGGUUCGAUUCCCGGUCGGGGCG